rnacentral:rRNA from 1 species
UACGUAGGGAGCAAGCGUUGUCCGGAAUCAUUGGGCGUAAAGCGCGCGUAGGUGGCUUCAUAAGUCCGUUGUGAAAGUCAAAGGCUCAACCUUUGAAAGCCGAUGGAUACUGUGGAGCUAGAGUACGGAAGAGGCGAGUGGAAUUCCUGGUGUAGCGGUGGAAUGCGCAGAUAUCAGGAGGAACACCAAUAGCGAAGGCAGCUCGCUGGGACGUUACUGACACUGAGGCGCGAAAGCGUGGGGGAGCGAACAGG